UUUAAAAAUUUUUUCGAUUUUAUUGUAUUAUUAAAGAACAAUAAACAAAUAAUUCAAAAUCAGGAAAUGUUUUUCGAAUAAUGAUUUUAUUGUAUAAAUUCCAGAAUAAAUUUUUCCAAUGUCAUCUGUUUAUUUAAUAAAUUCUUGUUACAUUCAUUUACUUAAAAUUAUUAUUGUUUUUUUUUUUUAAUAAGUCUAGCCACGUCUUAAAAAAAGAGCAGGUGCUAAACUAAUUAUAUUAAUCAACGACAUUGUUAUCUACUUAAAAUAGACGACGGCCUAUAUAAUGUUGCCUAUUACCAACGGCGCGCGUGCGAGUUAACAACAAUAAUAGUACUAUUAGCACAAAAUAGAUAAGAUGUAUUCUGUGUUAGUAGUACCCAUAGAGUAAUACUCUAUAGUAGUAUCACAAAUAAGAUAAAUCAGUUUUAUCUUAUCUGUGGUAGUAUAAGGUCUCUUUAUUAAUUAAGUCAUUAUUAAAAUUUUUUCGAACAAUUUGUGAAAUUUAACUAAUAAAAUCGUUGAAUGUUAUAUAGUUAGUUGUAAAAACGACUAAUAAACUAAGAAAUAUUAUCUCAAUUUACUGCUCUACGAAGUCCUGAACUCUGAAAAAUUACCACUUUUAAUGACCGAAGUUGUGUAUGUGAAAAACAUUUCACAAGUAAUUGAAUCAUUCGAUACUGGGAAUAUGAUGACGAACCAGUAUGCUUGUUUAAGUACCAUGUAAGAUAUCUAGGCUGAAAGAAAACACAGUUCCUUCAAUUUUCCCUGGACCAGCAUAUCUUUCCAAAGCUAAAAAAAAAAGAAGAAAUCCUCCAACUGACAUUUACUUUGUCCAACUGCUAAAAAGUUUAAAAAUGAUCAUUCUAAAAUUUGUGAUUUUAUAAACAUUCCCAACAUUUUAACUUCACGUGAAGUUAA